CCAUUGUGGGCUCUUUUACAUGUUGCUGUUUGAGCCACUGUUUCUCCUGGAGGAGCUCAUCAUGACUAACUUCCCCAGUGUCUCUUCUGGUUCCAGAUGAAAUCGAGGAGUUAUUUCUCUACAUCUAUGAGGAAACAUUGUUCCUCUGCCACAUCACUCUGCCUUGGAGCCAACUAAGUAUGGUCUGAAAUCUUCACAAACUGUGAGCUAAAUAAACUUUUCU